rnacentral:rRNA from 1 species
AGAACCCUUCCAGGUCCUGACAUCCCUUGAAAGUUUUUUAGAGAUAAAAGUGUUUUUUUCGGAGACAAAGUGACCGGUGGGGCAUGGUGUUGUCCAGCUCGUGUCGUGAGAUGUUGGGUUAAGUCCCGCAACGAGCGCAACCCUUAUUGUUAGUUGCCAGCAUUCAGUUGGGCACUCUGCGAGACUGCCGGUGACAAACCGGAGGAAGGCGGGGACGACGUCAAAUCAUCAUGCCCCUUAUGACCUGGGCUACACACGUGCUACAAUGGGAUACAACGAGUUGCCAACCUGCGAAGGUGAGCUAAUCUCUUAAAGUACGUCUCAGUUCGGACUGCAGUCUGCAACUCGACUGCACGAAGUCGGAAUCGCUAGUAAUCGCGGAUCAGCACGCCGCGGUGAAUACGUUCCCGGGUCUUGUACACACCGCCU